CUUUUGAAUGCUUAGAGUGUGGAAAGAGAUUCAGUCAGAGCAGCACCUUCGAAAGCAUCAAAUGACUCACACCGGGGAGAGACCUUUUGAAUGCUCAGAGUGUAGAAAGAGAUUCAGUCAGAGUAACAAUCUUCAGUGGCAUCAAACAACUUACACAAUAGAGAGACGUUUUGAAUGCUAAAAGUGUGAAAAGAGUUUCUGUCGGAGUAGCACUCUUCAUCAUCAAAAAACUCACAAAAAGGAGAAACUUUUUGAAUGGUCAGAGUUUGGAAAGAGAUUCAGUCAGAGUGGCCCUUUUAAACAACAUAUAUGACAGUGCUGCCCCAGGACUGUUUGCACAGUGCUGGCUGGGAAAUGCUGUUUCUAAAAAGCCUUGCUCAUUAGCAAGGCAGAAAAACAUUGUUUCCCCUCCGGUUUGGGGGGGAAAGCACGGCACUGCCUUGAUGCAGAUGCGGUGGCCGUGUGAACAGCCCCCCUAGAACAAUGUUUUUACUAUUCCAGUGGUUUUGUUUUUGACUGGUGCGGAGUGGGCCAGAGUGUGAAAAGAGAUUCAAUCAGAGUAGCAAUCAUAAACAGCAU